AUUGAACGCUGGCGGCAGGCUUAACACAUGCAAGUCGAGCGGAGAGAGGUAGCUUGCUACUGAUCUUAGCGGCGGACGGGUGAGUAAUGCUUAGGAAUCUGCCUAUUAGUGGGGGACAACAUUUCGAAAGGAAUGCUAAUACCGCAUACGUACUACGGGAGAAAGCAGGGGAUCUUCGGACCUUGCGCUAAUAGAUGAGCCUAAUGCGGAUGAGCUAGUUGGUGGGGUAAAGGCCUACCAAGGCGACGAUCUGUAGCGGGUCUGAGAGGAUGAUCCGCCACACUGGGACUGAGACACGGCCCAGACUCCUACGGGAGGCAGCAGUUGGGAAUAUUGGACAAUGGGCGGAAGCCUGAUCCAGCCAUGCCGCGUGUGUGAAGAAGGCCUUAUGGUUGUAAAGCACUUUAAGCGAGGAGGAGGCUACUUUAGUUAAUACCUAGAGAUAGUGGACGUUACUCGCAGAAUAAGCACCGGCUAACUCUGUGCCAGCCGCCGCAGUAA
rnacentral:rRNA from 1 species